UGACCUCAAAUCAGGUAGGAUUACCCGCUGAACUUAAGC
rnacentral:rRNA from 3 species